UACGAGGGGGGCAAGCGUUGGUCGGAAUUAUUGGGCGUAAAGGGUGCGUAGGCGGUUUGGUAAGUCUUAUGUGAAAUCUACAGGCUCAACUUGUAGUCUGCAUGAGAAACUGCCGGGCUUGAGUAUGGGAGAGGUGAGUGGAAUUCCUGGUGUAGCGGUGAAAUGCGUAGAUAUCAGGAGGAACACCUGUGGCGAAAGCGGCUCACUGGACCAUAACUGACGCUGAUGCACGAAAGCUAGGGGAGCAAACAGG
rnacentral:rRNA from 1 species